rnacentral:rRNA from 1 species
CCUACGGGAGGCAGCAGUGGGGAAUAUUGCACAAUGGGGGAAACCCUGAAGCAGCGACGCCGCGUGAGGGAUGAAGGAUUUCGGUAUGGAAAGCUCUAUCAGCCGGGAAGAAAAUGACGGUACCUGACUAAGAAGCCCCGGCUACCUACGUGACAGAAGCCGCGGGAAUACGUGGGGGGCAAGCGUUAUCCGGUAUUACUGGGGGUAAAGGGAGCGUAAACGGGUGUGCAAGCCAGGUGUGAAAGCGCGGGGAUCAACCCCGGGACUGCAUGUGAAACUGUGUGGCUGGAGUGUCGGAGAGGCAGGCGGAAUUCGUGGUGUAGCGGUGAAAUGCGUAGAUAUUAGGAGGAACACCGGUGGCGAAGGCGGCCUGCCGGCC